rnacentral:lncRNA from 1 species
CCGCCUGUGCGCGGCCUCCUCGGCGCAGCCAUCCUCGCGGCUGCCGAGGGCGGCAAAGCCCACGGCAUCUGCCAUUUGUCAUUCAGCCCGUCGGUACCGCCCCGAGCCUUGAUUUAGACACGUCUGGGGCGGAUUCUGGCCUCACUCUCCUGGCGGACGGACCGACGGACGGACGGGGCGGCUCUCCUCCCAGCCCAGCGGACCGCGGGCCUUGGCGCGCGGGGCGCUUUCCCGGGUCGCCGUCAUGGCCGCGGAGGCGGCGCGCCCGAACUGCCGCGCCUGAGUUCCGGGGGGCUCCGGACCCCGCAGGGAUUGCUCUCACGUCUGAUGUGGCCUCAGUUUCAUGUCACAUCUACCCCUCUGCACUUCAGACUUAGAAAGGUAUUUGCAUAGGCAUCAGCGGAGUUAAUCUUGUGAGUAAACUCUUAACAUCUGCACUUGUUUCCUUCCUUUUCUCUCUGCCCCCGGGCUCCUACACCACAGUGCAGGACUCCCAGCACCUCUGCGGAGUCCUCUCUCCUCUCUGCCUUGGGAGGGGAGAGGGGAAGAGCAUGUGUGACAGUUUUUGAGACACAGUCUGCCUCCCCCCAACUCCCGCCAUCCCCACCCCACCCCCGUUGCAGCAGUCGAAACUAGUCUGAAGCACAGAUACGCAGGGGUUUAGGCACUCCUUCCCCAGGCCGCCUCGCCAGCCCGAAUCUCACCCCACAGUGAUCAAAGUGCAGGAUGUAGUCCCCUUCGCAUUCCCCAUCCACCCACCUGGAGAGAAAUUUCAUCGGAGGCAUUUUUAGGUGUUUCUCUCUCCCCCAUGGGGUGUGUCCUAGAACCGGGAGGGUUCCAUGGCACCCGGUAGGUGAGGGCUUGGCUGCUGGCCUUUGGGAUAGUGGGAAAGUGAAGCCCCGAAGCUCUUGCCCCAGGCCUGGCCUCCCUGCGCGCACCACCCCUCAGCUGUCCUCUAGAGGGAUCUGCUCUGCGUUGGGGACAGAGCUGGGCAGGGUCUCCCUUGUUGGGGGCCAACAGGUCUCCUCUUCCUUUCCAGCCCCAGGGGCAGGGGGGUGGAUGGAGAGUGCCUUUUUUCGGACCCUCUUAUCCGCCCUCACCUUCUCCCGACCCUGAGGUUGGGCAGAAUCUCCUCAUGGAGUAGAGAUGUUUAAGAAAGACAGACUGCUUCUGCCGUCAUCUGGGCUAAACGACAAGGAAUUACAAAGCCUGCACCUGUUUUAAAUGAGCUAGAAAGGAAAACUGUUGGGAGGACAAACAAAGUUACAUUCCAGAGCUGUCCUGCUGCCCUGAUUUGGAGGCUGUAAUGAAGGCAAAACAUCACCCAAACACUGGUCACUAUGGAAAUGAAGAGAAGGAAACAGAUUUGAGAGACAAUAAGCUCGAGGAAUCUGCAGAGCUUAGUCAGUGAGAAAAAUCUAGUGCGCCUCCAGUUUCUGACUUUGGAGCAGCUGGGAAGUGACGAGACGAGGGGACUGACCUAUUAAUAAUAUGGGCCCUUAGGUGGCACCUUCUGGAUGCAGAGCCCAGCUCAGCUCUUGCUGAUUGUGUGACCAUCAGCAAAUUGGCAUCACUUUUAAGCCUCAGUUUGCCCAGAAGUCAGCUGGGCUCAAUGCUUCCUACUCAGAUGGUUGUUCGGGGCGUUAAGUCAAGUCAUUAAAACAAUGGCUGUGACCUGGUGAACAUCCAGUAAAUGUUAGCUAUUUUUACGUAGUGGUGCCAGUAGCUAAAAUUGGUAAUGCCAGUGGAGAGGGCCUGGAGGGCUAGCUUCGCGGAGCCCCUGCUUUAGAACAGGUGACCUUCAGGGGCGCUGAUGGAUAUUUAAGCUGAGAGGUGCAGGAGGUUGGAAGGCUGGGUGGGUCUGGAAUUUGUAGGACCAAAGAGAAAGAUUUGAGUGGCUUAUGACCUCAAGGAGCAUUGGAAACCUUGGGUUGUGACGGAAGUCCUGCCGGGGUUGAGUGAGCUGGUAGAGAGCCAGGUGCCCAGCGCUUGGAGCUGCGCAAACUCCUAGCCACCCUUUGCCAGCAUCUCCUCCCCCCUUCCUCCAAAGGCCCCCGUUGUUGUCAGAUGAAUAGGAAUAUCCUGUCCGCGGCCUCCACUUCUCAGUCGCAGUGACCCAGCUCCUUGAAGGGAGAUUUAGGGUCCAUAACCUACCAGGUAGGGUGGGCUCCUUUCCGCCUGGAAUGAGUCUU